AACUUCUGGAAACGGAUGCUAAAACCGGAUAGGUAGCAGACAAGCAUUUGACUGCUAUUAAAGUGGCUAAGGCCAUGAACAUGGAUGGACUCGCGUCCGAUUAGCCAGUUGGCGGGGUAACGGCCCACCAAAGCGACGAUCGGUAGCCGGACCGAGAGGUUGAACGGCCACAUUGGGACUGAGACACGGCCCAGACUCCUACGGGAGGCAGCAUG
rnacentral:rRNA from 1 species